rnacentral:rRNA from 1 species
CACGUAGGGGCCAAGCGUUGUCCGGAUUUAUUGGGCGUAAAGAGCUCGUAGGCGGUUGGGUAAGUCGGGUGUGAAAACUCUGGGCUCAACUCAGAGACGCCACCCGAUACUGCUCUGACUUGAGUCCGGUAGGGGAGUGGGGAAUUCCUGGUGUAGCGGUGAAAUGCGCAGAUACCAGGAGGAACACCGGUGGCGAAGGCGCCACUCUGGGCCGGAACUGACGCUGAGGAGCGAAAGCGUGGGUAGCAAACAGG